UACGAAGGGGGCUAGCGUUACUCGGAAUCACUGGGCGUAAAGGGUGCGUAGGCGGGUCUUUAAGUCAGGGGUGAAAUCCUGGAGCUCAACUCCAGAACUGCCUUUGAUACUGAAGAUCUUGAGUUCGGGAGAGGUGAGUGGAACUGCGAGUGUAGAGGUGAAAUUCGUAGAUAUUCGCAAGAACACCAAUAGCGAAGGCAGCUCGCUGGGACGGUACUGACGCUAAGGCGCGAAAGCGUGGGGAGCGAACAGG
rnacentral:rRNA from 1 species